rnacentral:rRNA from 1 species
GACGAACCGAGCGAACGUUAUUCGGAAUCACUGGGCUUAAAGGGUGCGUAGGCGGGCUCGUUAGUCAGGGGUGAAAUCCCACGGCCCAACCGUGGAAGUGCCUCUGAUACUGCGGACCUUGAGGGGGAUAGGGGCGUGCGGAACCUCCGGUGGAGCGGUGAAAUGCGUAGAUAUCGGAAGGAACACCGGUGGCGAAAGCGGCGCGCUGGAUCCCUACUGACGCUGAGGCACGAAAGCCAGGGGAGCAAACGGG